rnacentral:rRNA from 1 species
AGAGUUUGAUCCUGGCUCAGAUUGAACGCUGGCGGCAUGCCUUACACAUGCAAGUCGAACGGCAGCACGGACUUCGGUCUGGUGGCGAGUGGCGAACGGGUGAGUAAUGCAUCGGAACGUACCUUUCAGUGGGGGAUAACUAUCCGAAAGGAUAGCUAAUACCGCAUAUUCUGUGAGCAGGAAAGCAGGGGAUCGCAAGACCUUGCGCUGAUUGAGCGGCCGAUGUCAGAUUAGCUAGUUGGUGAGGUAAAGGCUCACCAAGGCGACGAUCUGUAGCGGGUCUGAGAGGAUGAUCCGCCACACUGGAACUGAGACACGGUCCAGACUCCUACGGGAGGCAGCAGUGGGGAAUUUUGGACAAUGGGGGCAACCCUGAUCCAGCCAUGCCGCGUGAGUGAAGAAGGCCUUCGGGUUGUAAAGCUCUUUCGGCCGGGAAAAAAUCGCAUGGGUUAAUACCCUGUGUGGAUGAUGGUACCGGAAUAAGAAGCACCGGCUAACUACGUGCCAGCAGCCGCGGUAAUACGUAGGGUGCGAGCGUUAAUCGGAAUUACUGGGCGUAAAGCGUGCGCAGGCGGUUUUGUAAGACAGGCGUGAAAUCCCCGGGCUCAACCUGGGGACUGCGCUUGUGACUGCAAGGCUAGAGUACGGCAGAGGGGGGUGGAAUUCCACGUGUAGCAGUGAAAUGCGUAGAGAUGUGGAGGAACACCAAUGGCGAAGGCAGCCCCCUGGGUCGAUACUGACGCUCAUGCACGAAAGCGUGGGUAGCAAACAGGAUUAGAUACCCUGGUAGUCCACGCCCUAAACGAUGUCAACUAGGUGUUGGAUGGGUAAAACCAUUUAGUACCGGAGCUAACGCGUGAAGUUGACCGCCUGGGGAGUACGGCCGCAAGGUUAAAACUCAAAGGAAUUGACGG